CGAGUCUUAAUUGGGCGUUAAGUUGCAGGGUAUAGACCCGAAACCCGGUGAUCUAGCCAUGGGCAGGUUGAAGGUUGGGUAACACUAACUGGAGGACCGAACCGACUAAUGUUGAAAAAUUAGCGGAUGACCUGUGGCUGGGGGUGAAAGGCCAAUCAAACCGGGAGAUAGCUGGUUCUCCCCGAAAGCUAUUUAGGUAGCGCCUCGUGAACUCAUCUCCGGGGGUAGAGCACUGUUUCGGCUAGGGGGCCAUCCCGGCUUACCAACCCGAUGCAAACUGCGAAUACCGGAGAAUGUUAUCACGGGAGACACACGGCGGGUGCUAACGUCCGUCGUGAAGAGGGAAACAACCCAGACCGCCAGCUAAGGUCCCAAAGUCAUGGUUAAGUGGGAAACGAUGUGGGAAGGCCCAGACAGCCAGGAUGUUGGCUUAGAAGCAGCCAUCAUUUAAAGAAAGCGUAAUAGCUCACUGGUCGAGUCGGCCUGCGCGGAAGAUGUAACGGGGCUAAACCAUGCACCGAAGCUGCGGCAGCGACACUUUAGUGUUGUUGGGUAGGGGAGCGUUCUGUAAGCCGUUGAAGGUGUCCUGUGAGGGGUGCUGGAGGUAUCAGAAGUGCGAAUGCUGACAUAAGUAACGAUAAAGCGGGUGAAAAGCCCGCUCGCCGGAAGACCAAGGGUUCCUGUCCAACGUUAAUCGGGGCAGGGUGAGUCGACCCCUAAGGCGAGGCCGAAAGGCGUAGUCGAUGGGAAACGGGUUAAUAUUCCCGUACUUGGUGUUACUGCGAAGGGGGGACGGAGAAGGCUAUGUUGGCCGGGCGACGGUUGUCCCGGUUUAAGCGUGUAGGUGUGUGUUCCAGGUAAAUCCGGUUCACUUUAACACUGAGGCGUGAUGACGAGGCACCACGGUGCUGAAGCAACAAAUGCCCUGCUUCCAGGAAAAGCCUCUAAGCAUCAGGUAACAUCAAAUCGUACCCCAAACCGACACAGGUGGUCAGGUAGAGAAUACCAAGGCGCUUGAGAGAACUCGGGUGAAGGAACUAGGCAAAAUGGUGCCGUAACUUCGGGAGAAGGCACGCUGACAC
rnacentral:rRNA from 1 species